GCCGAGCCCCGGAAGCAGCGCGGGGACCGUGAGCUCCUUGCGGGAAAGGAGGACGACAUAAAUGCUGAGAAGCCUUGUUUACAUAGUAAUUGGGAAAGGAAGAGAUCUGUUACAAUGAUAUUCCUCCAGUCUGAACUACUUCCGAGUCACAUACCAACAAUCACAGAGUGUCCUAUUACCAAAUACUAUUAUCAGAACCUGGUUUCUGUCCUGCAGAGCUACAUAUAUAGUCUUUCUCCUGGGGAGUGACAGCAGCACUUUCAA